GGGAGACAAUGGCCCCGGGGCGAUCUCCACUGCCAGUUGGGGCCACCAAGCUAUUGGGAGGGAGUGGCCAUCCCCAGUGGGGUUGGGAAAUAGAGACAGAGGUUACAGUGGGCGGCCGCAGCCCUGUGAGAGCCACAAAGUUCCUUCAGCGGCAAAGACCAGGGCCCCAGGGCUGAGCUGAGUUCCCGUGGCCAUGGGACCCGGUCUCCUGGUCGUCUGCUUCCUGUGCACCAUGGCCUUGACUGAUGACACCUGUCCAGAGGUGAAGGUGGUGGGCGUAGAGGGCUCCGACAAGCUCACAAUUCUCCGAGGCUGCCCGGGGCUGCCGGGGGCCCCAGGACCAAAGGGAGAGGCAGGUGCCAAUGGACAGAGAGGAGAACGCGGCCCCCCUGGAGCCCCUGGGAAGGCAGGACCACCUGGGCUCAAGGGAGACCCUCAGGAACCCGAUCUGUGUAACACAGGCCCACGCACCUGCAAGGACUUGCGGGACCGGGGGCACUUCCUGAGCGGCUGGCACACCAUCUACCUGCCCGACUGCCAGCCCCUGACCGUGCUGUGUGACAUGGACACGGACGGAGGGGGCUGGACCGUUUUCCAGCGGAGGGUGGACGGCUCUGUGGACUUCUACCGGGACUGGGCCGCGUACAAGCAGGGCUUCGGCAGUCAGCUGGGGGAGUUCUGGCUGGGAAAUGACAACAUUCACGCUCUGACCGCCCGGGGGACCAGCGAGCUCCGCGUAGACCUGGUGGACUUUGAGGACAACCACCAAUUUGCCAAGUACAGUUCCUUCCAGAUGGCGGGCGAGGCGGAGAAGUACAGGCUGGUCCUGGGGGCCUUUGUGGAGGGCAGUGCGGGUGAUUCUCUGACAUACCACAGCAACCACUCCUUCUCCACCAAAGACCAAGACAACGACCAAGCUGCUGAGAACUGUGCUGUGCAGUAUCAGGGAGCCUGGUGGCACGUCACCUGUCACUUGUCAAAUCUGAACGGUCGCUACCUCAGGGGGGCCCAUGACAGCUUUGCCAAUGGCAUCAACUGGAAGUCAGGGAAAGGGUACCACUACAGCUACAGGGUGUCGGAGAUGAAGGUGCGGCCCGCCUAGCCCGGUGCUGGCGGCAGAGGGGCUCUGCAUGCACCCUGGCUGGAGGAGGGCAGCGUGGGGAUCAUGGCCCCAUCCUCAUGGGAAGUGGGAGCUCCCACGAGUCCCUUGUGGACAUGGCCUGCAGAGCUUUGCACCCAGCGCCGGCGUCCAGCCCCCUGCCUCCGGCCUGCAAGGCUGGGCGAAGCCCUAGUGUAUCUCCCUCACCGCAGCUGUGAGUGCUCGCUUGCCUCAAAGGGGGUCGUGGGAUGCCACGACCGUUUGCACUGCCACGCCCCUGCACUGCUCACCUGUCCUUGCCUCCCUGUGACCUGGCCCUACCGCUGGGUCAGAUGCCCUAGGGCUGAGGGCAUUAUCCACUGGCUAAGAGAAAGCAGGGCCACCGAGCCUGUUUGUGAAUAAAGUUUUAUUGGCACAGCCGUGCCCGUGGCUGCCA